UGGGGAAUAUUGGACAAUGGGCGCAAGCCUGAUCCAGCCAUGCCGCGUGAGUGAUGAAGGCCUUAGGGUUGUAAAGCUCUUUCGGCGGGGACGAUAAUGACGGUACCCGCAGAAGAAGCCCCGGCUAACUUCGUGCCAGCAGCCGCGGUAAUACGAAGGGGGCUAGCGUUGUUCGGAAUCACUGGGCGUAAAGGGCGCGUAGGCGGCUUGAUAAGUCGGGGGUGAAAGCCUGUGGCUCAACCACAGAAUUGCCUUCGAUACUGUCGAGCUUGAGACCGGAAGAGGUAAGUGGAACUGCGAGUGUAGAGGUGAAAUUCGUAGAUAUUCGCAAGAACACCAGUGGCGAAGGCGGCUUACUGGUCCGGUUCUGACGCUGAGGCGCGAAAGCGUGGGGAGCAAACA
rnacentral:rRNA from 1 species